rnacentral:rRNA from 1 species
AUUGAACGCUGGCGGCAGGCCUAACACAUGCAAGUCGAGCGGAUGAGUGGAGCUUGCUCCAUGAUUCAGCGGCGGACGGGUGAGUAAUGCCUAGGAAUCUGCCUGGUAGUGGGGGACAACGUUUCGAAAGGAACGCUAAUACCGCAUACGUCCUACGGGAGAAAGUGGGGGAUCUUCGGACCUCACGCUAUCAGAUGAGCCUAGGUCGGAUUAGCUAGUUGGUGAGGUAAAGGCUCACCAAGGCGACGAUCCGUAACUGGUCUGAGAGGAUGAUCAGUCAACCGGGAAAUGAGAAACGGCCCAACCCCCAAGGGGGGGCAGGGGUGGGGAAUUUUGGAAAUGGGGCGAAACCCUAACCCAGCAAGUCGCGGUGGGUGAAAAAGGCUUUCGGUUUGUAAAGCACUUUAAGUUGGGAGGAAGGGAAGAAAUUUAAUCCCUUGCUGUUUGGACGUUCCCAACAAAAAAAGCACCGGCUAACUUCGU